GGAUGAACGCUGGCGGCGCGCCUAACACAUGCAAGUCGAACGAUUAAAGCACCUUCGGGUGUGUAUAAAGUGGCGAACGGCUGAGUAACACGUGGGCAACCUGCCCCUUUCAUUGGGAUAGCCACGGGAAACCGUGGAUAAUACCGAAUACUUCGAGACUUCCGCAUGGAAGACUCGAGAUAGCUCCGGCGGAGAGGGAUGGGCCCGCGGCCUGUUAGCUUGUUGGUGGGGUAACGGCCUACCAAGGCAAUGAUGGGUAGCUGGGUUGAGAGACCGACCAGCCAGAUUGGGACUGAGACACGGCCCAGACUCCUACGGGAGGCAGCAGUGGGGAAUCUUGCACAAUGGGCGAAAGCCUGAUGCAGCGACGCCGCGUGCGGGAUGAAGGCCUUCGGGUUGUAAACCGCUUUCAGCAGGGACGAGGCGAAAGUGACGGUACCUGCAGAAGAAGCCCCGGCUAACUACGUG
rnacentral:rRNA from 1 species